CAGCAGGCGCGAAAACUUUACAAUGCGGGAAACCGUGAUAAGGGGACACCGAGUGCCAGCAUCAUAUGCUGGCUGUCCAGGUGUGUAAAAUACGCCUGUUAGCAAGGGCCGGGCAAGACCGGUGCCAGCCGCCGCGGUAACACCGGCGGCCCGAGUGGUGAUCGUGAUUAUUGGGUCUAAAGGGUCCGUAGCCGGUUUGGUCAGUCCUCCGGGAAAUCUGACGGCUCAACCAUUAGGCUUUCGGGGGAUACUGCCAGGCUUGGAACCGGGAGAGGUAAGAGGUACUACAGGGGUAGGAGUGAAAUCUUGUAAUCCCUGUGAGACCACCUGUGGCGAAGGCGUCUUACCAGAACGGGUUCGACGGUGAGGGACGAAAGCUGGGGGCACGAACCGGAUUAGAUACCCGGGUAGUCCCAGCCGUAAACGAUGCUCGCUAGGUGUCAGGCAUGGCGCGACCGUGUCUGGUGCCGCAGGGAAGCCGUGAAGCGAGCCACCUGGGAAGUACGGCCGCAAGGCUGAAACUUAAAGGAAUUGGCGGGGGAGCACAAGGGCGAAUCGC
rnacentral:rRNA from 1 species